AAAUUCAAACAGACAAAAAGCGUUUUGUUUUAUGAGUCUUUAGUUGGGCGAUUGAAAAAUUUUGAAAACAAUUUUAUUUUCAGAAUCAACGUGGUCCGGUAAACAACCCUCAAAAAAGAAAUAAAUAACGGCAAACGAGUAACUAGAUUUUGAAUUGGAUUUCCGAUCAAUACGUGGCGGUUUGCAAAAAAAAAAAAAAAAAAAAAAAAUGAAAAUAAAAAUGAAAUAAAAGUGAUUUGAGAAAAUAAUAAAACUUAAAUAAAAUAGAUUUAAAUGUGAAAUAAAAUUUAUAUUUUUUUAAAAAUAAAAAAAGGAGUGGAUAAAAAAAAAAUAAAAAUUUAAAAAAAAAUAUUAAAACAAAUACACAUGAAAUUUGAAAAUUAAAAAGAUAUUCCAAGUGAAGUGCAAAAUAUUUCAAUUAUCAGACUCCUCGUUGUGUCUGACCCUCUUCAAUUGUUAAAUGUUGUUAAGAAUUUUGCAAUAAAUAUUUUUUCCUUUCUUAUCUUUUGAAAAUUAGUUUAAAUUGUUGAUAUCUAUAUUUGAAAAAUACACAACAAAAAAUAGAUUUACCCAAAGAAUUCAAUUUUUUUGAAAAGCGCCAAGCAAAUAGAAUUGUUGAUCGUGUAAAGUGUUGAGUUUUGAAUGAGCCCAAUGAGUGGUCUACGUCAUCAGCUAAAGAUGCUGGGCACAGCAUUGCUGGGGAAGCGCACACCAAAGUCUGUGAAAAAGAAACCCUUUACAGAUGUUGAAUUAUCAGGUAAGUUAAUCUACAAAAAAUAAUUUACAUACGCUAUAAAUAAUGGAUUAAACGUUAAAAUCCUUCGAAUGAAAGUGGUUUUUAGCCAAAAUGAAUAAUUUAUAGAAAAAUCUCUUUGAAUUGAAGCGAUUUUCGGUGGCACAAGGUGUGAACACCAAAUUACAUUUCAAGAAGUAAUUAAUGGUAAUCGACUUAGGCAAAGCUGGUUCGCCAUGCAACAAAGUGAAGGUUGUGAAAUUACUAAAAUACGAGAAGGUGUAAAACUGUUUUGUGGCAAAAAAAAACCUGAAGAAGUCAAGGAUCACCUAUGAAUAACCCAGGGAACAUUUGUUUUAUGUUUUGUAUUUUAGAGGAUAAAUAUUUAAUUUAAUCCCCCAUAGUUAUGUUUUUUAUUAUACCAGUCCAGAAAUGAAUAUUAAUUCUUCAAUUUAAAUAUUUUUUACUUUGACAAAUAUUCGAUUUUUGCAUUUCCAUAAUGUUGAGGGCAAUCCAUGACUUUCAAUACAAAUUUAUAACUGAAGUAUAGAUGGCGUUUGUUAAGUAAGUCAAAAUAAAUAUAUAAAAAAUGUAAGGGGUAUAACCUUGUCUAUGUUUCCUGGUAAAGCCUACCUAGUGCCAUUGUGGUAGUGUUUUUUAUUAAAAGCUCAUACACCAAUGAUCUAUGUAUGAGUACAAAAUCAUUAAUGUUUAGAGGGCGCUUUUUAUGAUUUAUAUGAUUAUAAUUUCUCUCAUAAUAUUUGAAUAUUUUGUAGUUAAAAUUUUCCCAAAAAAAAUUAUUUCUAAAACUUCACUUAAAAUGAUCGUAUGACCAAUAGAAAAGUAUCCGAAAUAUUGCACAUGCAGUGGCCAGAUGUUCUUUAAAAAAAAUAUUCUAAGAAAUACACAGAUAGUUCUUCAAAGAAAGAAUUUAAUGUAGGAAUUGAAAUAAAGAGGGCGUUGUUCGUUGAAUUUAUCACUGAGGGUUUGAGGGAAUUAUCACUGGGUAAAAUCGCCGGAUUUUUACUUCUUACUAUAAAGUAAUAAUCGCUGUAUCAGUUUUUAUUAGUUCACAGAGCAUAAAAUUACGAAAAACAUAAAUUUACUGUUGGAAUUGAAAUAAAGACGGCGUUGUUUGUUGCACUUACUACUGGAGAUUUGGGAGGAAAUCCUGGGUGAAAUCACCGGAUUUCAACUUCUAACGAUAAAGUAAUGAUCGCUAUAGCAGUUUUUAUUGGUUCAUAUAACCUUAAGGUAUAGAAAAUAUAAAUUUCCUGUUGAAAUUGAAGGAAAGAGGGCGUUGUUCGUUGCAUUUAUCACUGAGGUAUUGAAGAAGAGAGAUAAUUUUAAUUUUAUUUCUGUUUCAAGACAGUUUGACCCCUACGAUAUAUCUAUGAUUAAUAUCUAAUUUUUUAUUAGUUCACAAGGCUUAAAGGUGUCCAAGAUUGAAGUUUCCUUU